GGGAAACAAAGAUACUAAUAGAUUAUUGCUGAAAUAUAUUAAAAUAAUAUUUGGAAAAUAUAUUAAAACGAAUUUAAGAAGAAAAAAAAAGAAAAAAAAAAUUGGCGGGAAAAUAUCGCACCAGGAAUUGACACGUGUCAUUCCUGGUGUAUCUUUUAGUAUAUAGUAAUAGAUUAACUCUUUCUAGAACAUUGUAAUUUACAAAAAAAGAAAUCAGACAUACCAUAACCCAUUCUAUUAGGUCACUCUCAGGUCUCCACUCUCCACUCUCCACUCACAAAAGAACCGAAAUCAAAGAAGGAAGGCGACAUAUAGGAAAGAAGGCGGUGAAGAAAGGGGACGGGACAUCACACAAACGGUGCUCACUUGCUCUACCGUUUGGCCAGUCCGGAUAUGGUACAUGGUUGAGCAACUUGAACUGAGUACUGUGAUGUCAUCUAUGUUGUGGUGCCAUAAAGCUCGUAGAAGACGUCAUGACAGAAUUUAUCAAAGUCAAACAAGGAGACGUUGUAAUCGAGCUUGCAACUUGAAAGUUUUUAUACGGUGUAAUUAUUUUAAUAAGUUUAUAAUUUCUAUAAUUAUAUAAAUAAGUCUUGAAGUUUGUCACUGAUGAAUGAUGAUUGAUGUAUGAAAUAUUACGUAGUUAUUUUUGUAUAUAUUUACUUUGCGAAUAUGAUGUUUUGUAUAUUUGCCACA